rnacentral:lncRNA from 10 species
UGGGAAAACAGGGAUAGUUCUCACUUUGGGCUGCGGGUCCAGGCAUGUGGGUGGAGCCCUUGCCAAAGAUCCUGCCCUCUUCUACCAGUAUUUGCCUGCCUUCUGUCCAUUUCAGUUCAAGACAGUUUGUGCAAUUUGGAAACAGCCAGAUCUAAACAGUGUAAAAUCUGGAUAGUCAGGCAGAAUAAGGCUGGAAAAAAUAUAUAAUUAUAUAGAAUAAAGCUGAAAAAAUUCACUGAGUAAUACUGUGUGUGUGCACCUACAUGCACAUGUAACAAAGUGAUAAUUUCUAUUUCCUUAGAUGUUUCAAAAUGUAUCUUGAACAUAUGACAAAUAUUUAAUGUUUUCUGGGUGACUACAUUGAAGCCCACCACUCACUUGGGACAGAAAAGUCAUUUUUUGGUGUGUGAUUAUACUUGCUAUCUUAUGGUCACAACUUUUAAUACUACAUAGAAGCAUUAAUAUUUUUUAUUUUUCCUUUAGAUCCUUCACUGAAUUCAACCCAGUCUGCUCAACAGUUCACCAAGAGUCUUGCUAUCUCUAAUUUCAGGAUAUGCUUUCCAUCACCAAUACCCAGUCUAUGUCUUCACAGAAAAUUAUCACUGCAAAGCUGAGCGGUUUCUGGAGAAUCUUGGCUCAUUCACUGAAUUCUUUGGGAAGGGCUGGUUCCAAGAAAAGGGAAACUGAGCCAUCCUUCAGCAACUCUAGGAACAAAUCAAGGUACAUAUAAUGAUGGGGUAGUAAAUGCUAAUACCAGCUAUCUCCUUCCCUUGUAUUUAUCCCUGUUUUUGUUCCCCUCUGUCCACUCUGGCUUCCUAUUCUCCCUUUGUGGCAAAAUAUCCACUAUUCUUGAAGAAAGCGAACCAGCAAACCUGCUAAUAUUAAAGCUUCAGUGACCCAAUAGGUAGCUACACUUUGAGGAACAUUUGCAUUUCCAAAGAAAUUAUCUGAAGACAAAAAUGUCUAAUUCAAUGGGCUAAAAUGCAAAUUGUUAUAUUUCAGGCUAGAAAGAUAUCUAUCCCAAGGAACUUCCUUAUCAUGCUCUGGGAGACAGUAGGCUGCCUCAUGGAAGGCCGUUGUAGAUGUCCAAGUAAACAUUGCAAAAAACAGGUAUAGAAGCAUUGGCUUGGGACUGAGAAAUGAUAUUCAUUUGGUGCAAAAGUAAUUGCGAUUUUUGCCCUUGAAAAUGAUGGUUAAAACUGCAAUGACUUUUGCAUCAACCUGUGGAUUAGUAAUUGAUACACAAAGACAUGACACAUGAGAAUACCAAGUGCACUGCUUGGCACAUAGUAGACAUUCAACAAAUGCUUCUCGCUGACAACUUUUGCUUUCCUCCUCAAUCACCCACUUUUUAGAAUCCUUGAAAAAAUCUUACAAAUUUUUCAAAUAUUCAGGAAACUUAAAUAACAUCAGAUUUAGAGAAGAAUUAUUGACUGUAGCCAACUUUUGGACCUAUACAUUUUUUUUAAACUAUGUGAUGGGAAUCUCUUCAUUUUUUAGAGCAACAUGGAUGCAUAUCAAUUACAAACCUUGCUAAAUCAUCCUUUCUAUCUGUGAGGCAAUAAAAUUCAUUAUCCUGGUUAGUUUGAGGAUAUACUUAACCCAUAAACACCAACAGCAAGUAUAGAUUCAGACAUUUGUAUCUAUAAUUUAGACAGUUUAAAAUGCAAUAUUAAGUAAUUCAAAAAUUGUUCAAAGCUCAGUACCUUUUCACACAUUAAUACUUUGAUUAUCAACUUCCUUUUAAAGAGUAAGUGAGUAGAAAAGGGUAAGUAGAAAAGAGUAGAAGAGGCCUUUCUUUCACAAUUUGCCAAAACAUGCAUCACUUAUUUAAAAUAAAAAAAAAUGCUGUUUGAAAAACAAGAAGGAUGGCAAGAAUGAAGCUCCUUCAUGCAAGAUACCUCUGACUACCCUCUAAAGACAGAUACUAUGGCAUGGUCAUAGAAUUACUGCAGGAAAAAUUUGUCCACUGAGGCUGCUUCCUCCAGAGGUAAGGUUUAACUUAUGGUAACUUGCUAUGGAUCAACAGCUCAAGAUGAAGUGUGUGGCUGGCAAUUUAAGUGUAAAAUUAGAUUUCCAGUAUAAUCAGUCAUCUGAUAGCCCAUCUAAAUGUAUUCUGCAUUUGCACAUUUAAUUAAUUAUGUCUUAAUUGAAAACAUUUUGCUCAUAACGAUUGGUUCUAAUUUUAUUCCAAAUUAAAUUAGUAGGGGAGAAAUUUAGUUUGGGAAUUUAUUGAUUUUUAUAUAUAUUAAAGAAAAAGUAAAAAUAAUGGAUUUUCUCUUUUCUUCUUAAAAGGAAAUAUCUUUCUGCUCAUUUAGAGGUGCAAAGGAAAACAUUUAGAACUUUCCAGAUGAAUAAAUUGCAUUUCAUCUGAAUGAACAUCUAACUUUGGAGAUGGAGAGAACAUUCUUUCGUAUUGUUGUAGAUAUGCCUAGUAUAAUAUUGGUAUAAUUAAUUUUUCAGCUACAAUGCAGAUUCCUGGGUCAGUGCAAAAGACCUUGUUUAUUUAGAAGUGAUUAUCUGAGAAAGUGGCUCAUAAGUCUUAGAUUCCUGGAAUGCACAGUCUGGUCUGCAAAUUAAAAUAGCUAUUUAAAUUCCCUUUAUGAAAAUUAUGCCUGAUAGGGCACUUCCAUGUGCAGUGAGGUUUGUAUUUGCACAUCUAGAGCAUCCAGGAAAUCAGCGAAGUUGCGUUUUGUGUCUUUAGAUAUGCUACAGUUGAUAAACCCUAAGAUUCAGAUAUUAACUAUUGGAUAAGCUCUUGCAUUUCCCAUAACUUUAGCUUUGAAGCCAUUCAUUACAUUAAUACUAAGGAAAGAAUGUCAGAAAAUCCAAAGAGAGAGAAUUCACAGUUAUGAUUUUUGGACAUAUAAUUGGAAAGAAGUCAGAUUUGGCUUUUACAAUUAGUGCCAUAUAAUGUCACACAAAGUAUUUCCUGCAGUGUGCUCAAAGAGGUCAAUUUGUGAUUUAUUUGCAAGUCAUAGUUCUGAAAUUACUGACUUGUGUGUGUAACAAUUUAGCUUUAACUUGGGCACUUAAUUUAGCAUUAAAUAUAGCUCCUCUUCAAUAUUGAUCCUUGCCCUGAACAAGAUAUCAUUUCAUAAACCCAAUUAAACAUGGUGCCUACUGUGGUUUAAAUACCAAGACAGAUUAAAUGUAUUGUCCAGUUUCACAGAUCAGCAAUGCUUCUCUUCCUGUAUCACUAGCUCAUGAUUAACAUAAGGGACCAGUCUGUGCCAGUGGAUGGGCCAGAAUUAAAAGAGGAUAAAUAUUGAUGUCCUGCCUGAAAGAAAAUUGGGCACCCAAGGUGUCAGAGAGUUGUCUGAUAUACUGUGACAUGAAUGUCCCAUAUGUAUAAAUUGCAGCCUUUUUAAAAUAAGGUAGAAUUGUUUGUGGAAGAUUAAAAACUCUCUUUCUAAAUUGUUGAAUUAAAAUAUUUAGUUAAUAAAUAAAUCACUGCUAUUUUCAUCAAUAUUGGAGUUGUUUCUUCAAGUUUGUGUGUUUUCUCAAUUAGAAAAAAAGUCUAAUUUGUUUAAAUAGUGAGAAGUCAACAUUGAACUGUUGUCUACUCAAUAGCCACAAUUCCUUAUUUCUUGUUUACAAUGACCAUAGAUUGUUUAUGUUUGUAUUGUUGCAACAAGUUCACAGACAAUGGAUUCCUCUCCCAAUCUGGGAGGAUGAGCCAUGGUUAGUCUAGGCCAUGAAUAUUGUGGUAGAUUGUAUUGUGUGUUCAUAAUUCUUUGUUCUCUGGCCAGGUGCAGUGUCUCACGCCUGUAAUCCUAGCACUUCGGGAAACUGAGGCGGGCAGAUUGCCAGAGCUCAGGAGUUCGAGACUGGCCUGGGCAACAUGGCAAAACCCCUCUCUACUAAAAAUACAAAAAAUUAGCUGGGUAUGCUGGUGCGCACCUGUAAUCCCAGCUACUUGGGAGCCUGAGGUGUGAGAAUCACUUGAACCCAGAAGGCGAAGAAUGCAGUGAGCCAAGAUUGUGCCACUGCACUCCAGCCUGGAUGACAGAGCGAGACUCUGUCUCAGAAAAAAAUAAUUAAAAAAGAUGAUUCUUGUUCCCUCCCCAUCCUUACCUUUUUUUAAUGAGGAAAGAGAAUAUUUCCCUGUAUCACUGACUUUGGGCUUGGCUAUGUGACUGCUCUACCCAACAGAAUUUGGGUAGGUUAAUAGUAAUAGAAGUAACUAAGCAGAACUUUAAAGAAGCUUCUCCUCUUCAACUCUUGCUUAUAAAGCAUUAUAAAAAUCAAUAUAUAUAAAGCAUUAUAAAAAUCAAAUGCCCUAAGUAGUCUGUGUCCUUCAACAUGGGUCCAGGAAUGAGAGACACCUGGAGCACACCUGACUCUCAUCUGUAGUCUAAGGUAGAACUGCUGCAACCAAUUCACAAAAUUCAUGAGCAAGGAGUAAAUGCUUGCUGUUAUCGGUCAGUAACUUCUUGUCAUGUUUCUUAAGCAUUAUUGGAGCAAAAGCAAACUAAUACAAAUGUUAAUGUAAUUCCUUUGCUUGUGAUUGAUUUAGAGAUGAAUAUUUGUCUUGUUUCCAGCUAAUACAAUGUAUUUAGGAAGAAUGCCAAAGGAGGGAGCUUAUUAGUAGGAUUUUGACCUCUAAUGAAAAUGAUGGCCAAAUAUAUGAAAUUUUUUCUUUCUUUGGUUUUUAUUGUUCAAAGACAUAAUUAUUUAAGUUGUGUUAGUUGUGUGUGAUCUUUUAACUGUGAGGAAUUACAUAGAAUGAAAAUGGAAUGUGCUGUGGUGGCAGAACAGAAAGAAGUUGGGUGAUUGACACCAUUGAGCUGCUGCAGGAAAUCUGUUAGUCUCCAUUUCCAGGGGUCUUGCUAUGUAGAAAAAUUGGAUGACUUUAUUGCUUAAGUCACUAUAAGAAUGUUUUCUGUUACCUGCAACCCAAUGCACCCAACUAAUAAAGUAUGUUUCUAGAAAUACACUUGCCUGCACUCAUUUUUAAGACACACAGACCACAUACACACGGAGAGAUAUUUUUAAAGGUCUUGUACUACAUAAAUUGUACUAUUUUUUAAUUUAAAAAUAUGGGCCAGG